GGCGUGCCGGGAGUUGUAGUCCGCAGUGCGGGGGCGCGGCGAUCACCCGAGCGUGUGGCCGGCAUCUGCAAGGAUUGGGGAAUGCUCUGGAGUUAUGAAUAAUACACCGGUAGCAGAGUUGGGAUGUAAGGAUCCCCUGAAGAGUGAAAGAUGAUAUGCUAUUGAAAAAAAAUCUUUGAAAUACAUCCUGACUUUAAAAAAAAGGGUCUCCUGUUACCAUGACUACUUAUCACACCCAUUUUGCUUACUGCUAAUUGCAAUGACAGUGGACCUUUGAAGUAAAGACACAGAGAUGAGUAAAAUUGUGGAUGGUGAUGAUGACACUGUUGAAGUCGAGUAGUGUUUAUGGUAUGUAGAGAUGUGAAUUUCUGCCUUGUGACAAAAUUGUAUGAUUGAUCCUGCUAUGCAUGUGGGCUGGUUUGAGCUAGGGUAGAGUUAAUUGUCUUCACAGUAGCUCUUGUGGGG